UACGAAGGGGGCUAGCGUUGCUCGGAAUCACUGGGCGUAAAGGGUGCGUAGGCGGGUUUUUAAGUCAGGGGUGAAAUCCUGGAGCUCAACUCCAGAACUGCCUUUGAUACUGAAGAUCUUGAGUCCGGGAGAGGUGAGUGGAACUGCGAGUGUAGAGGUGAAAUUCGUAGAUAUUCGCAAGAACACCAGUGGCGAAGGUGGCUCACUGGCCCGGUACUGACGCUGAGGUGCGAAAGCGUGGGGAGCAAACAGG
rnacentral:rRNA from 1 species